rnacentral:rRNA from 1 species
CGAAGUGGUUGAUGCCAUGCUUCCAAGAAAAGCUUCUAAGCUUCAGGUAACCAGGAACCGUACCCCAAACCGACACAGGUGGUUGGGUAGAGAAUACCAAGGCGCUUGAGAGAACUCGGGUGAAGGAACUAGGCAAAAUGGCACCGUAACUUCGGGAGAAGGUGCGCCGGUGAGGGUGAAGCAUUUACUGCGUAAGCCCAUGCCGGUCGAAGAUACCAGGCCGCUGCGACUGUUUAUUAAAAACACAGCACUCUGCAAACACGAAAGUGGACGUAUAGGGUGUGACGCCUGCCCGGUGCCGGAAGGUUAAUUGAUGGGGUUAGCUAACGCGAAGCUCUUGAUCGAAGCCCCGGUAAACGGCGGCCGUAACUAUAACGGUCCUAAGGUAGCGAAAUUCCUUGUCGGGUAAGUUCCGACCUGCACGAAUGGCGUAACGAUGGCGGCGCUGUCUCCACCCGAGACUCAGUGAAAUUGAAAUCGCUGUGAAGAUGCAGUGUAUCCGCGGCUAGACGGAAAGACCCCGUGAACCUUUACUAUAGCUUUGCACUGGACUUUGAAUUUGCUUGUGUAGGAUAGGUGGGAGGCUUUGAAGCGUGGACGCCAGUUCGCGUGGAGCCAACCUUGAAAUACCACCCUGGCAACUUUGAGGUUCUAACUCAGGUCCGUUAUCCGGAUCGAGGACAGUGUAUGGUGGGUAGUUUGACUGGGGCGGUCUCCUCCUAAAGAGUAACGGAGGAGUACGAAGGUGCGCUCAGACCGGUCGGAAAUCGGUCGUAGAGUAUAAAGGCAAAAGCGCGCUUGACUGCGAGACAGACACGUCGAGCAGGUACGAAAGUAGGUCUUAGUGAUCCGGUGGUUCUGUAUGGAAGGGCCAUCGCUCAACGGAUAAAAGGUACUCCGGGGAUAACAGGCUGAUACCGCCCAAGAGUUCAUAUCGACGGCGGUGUUUGGCACCUCGAUGUCGGCUCAUCACAUCCUGGGGCUGAAGCCGGUCCCAAGGGUAUGGCUGUUCGCCAUUUAAAGUGGUACGCGAGCUGGGUUUAGAACGUCGUGAGACAGUUCGGUCCCUAUCUGCCGUGGACGUUUGAGAUUUGAGAGGGGCUGCUCCUAGUACGAGAGGACCGGAGUGGACGAACCUCUGGUGUUCCGGUUGUCACGCCAGUGGCAUUGCCGGGUAGCUAUGUUCGGAAUAGAUAACCGCUGAAAGCAUCUAAGCGGGAAACUAGCCUCAAGAUGAGAUCUCACUGGGACCUUGAGUCCCCUGAAGGGCCGUCGAAGACUACGACGUUGAUAGGUUGGGUGUGUAAGCGCUGUGAGGCGUUGAGCUAACCAAUACUAAUUGCCCGUGAGGCUUGACCAU